rnacentral:rRNA from 1 species
AUGCUGGAGGUAUCAGAAGUGCGAAUGCUGACAUAAGUAACGAUAAAGCGGGUGAAAAGCCCGCUCGCCGGAAGACCAAGGGUUCCUGUCCAACGUUAAUCGGGGCAGGGUGAGUCGACCCCUAAGGCGAGGCCGAAAGGCGUAGUCGAUGGGAAACAGGUUAAUAUUCCUGUACUUGGUGUUACUGCGAAGGGGGGACGGAGAAGGCUAUGUUGGCCGGGCGACGGUUGUCCCGGUUUAAGCGUGUAGGCUGGUUUUCCAGGCAAAUCCGGAAAAUCAAGGCUGAGGCGUGAUGACGAGGCACUACGGUGCUGAAGCAACAAAUGCCCUGCUUCCAGGAAAAGCCUCUAAGCAUCAGGUAACAUCAAAUCGUACCCCAAACCGACACAGGUGGUCAGGUAGAGAAUACCAAGGCGCUUGAGAGAACUCGGGUGAAGGAACUAGGCAAAAUGGUGCCGUAACUUCGGGAGAAGGCACGCUGAUAUGUAGGUGAAGUCCCUCGCGGAUGGAGCUGAAAUCAGUCGAAGAUACCAGCUGGCUGCAACUGUUUAUUAAAAACACAGCACUGUGCAAACACGAAAGUGGACGUAUACGGUGUGACGCCUGCCCGGUGCCGGAAGGUUAAUUGAUGGGGUUAGCGCAAGCGAAGCUCUUGAUCGAAGCCCCGGUAAACGGCGGCCGUAACUAUAACGGUCCUAAGGUAGCGAAAUUCCUUGUCGGGUAAGUUCCGACCUGCACGAAUGGCGUAAUGAUGGCCAGGCUGUCUCCACCCGAGACUCAGUGAAAUUGAACUCGCUGUGAAGAUGCAGUGUACCCGCGGCAAGACGGAAAGACCCCGUGAACCUUUACUAUAGCUUGACACUGAACAUUGAGCCUUGAUGUGUAGGAUAGGUGGGAGGCUUUGAAGUGUGGACGCCAGUCUGCAUGGAGCCGACCUUGAAAUACCACCCUUUAAUGUUUGAUGUUCUAACGUGGACCCGUAAUCCGGGUUGCGGACAGUGUCUGGUGGGUAGUUUGACUGGGGCGGUCUCCUCCUAAAGAGUAACGGAGGAGCACGAAGGUUGGCUAAUCCUGGUCGGACAUCAGGAGGUUAGUGCAAUGGCAUAAGCCAGCUUGACUGCGAGCGUGACGGCGCGAGCAGGUGCGAAAGCAGGUCAUAGUGAUCCGGUGGUUCUGAAUGGAAGGGCCAUCGCUCAACGGAUAAAAGGUACUCCGGGGAUAACAGGCUGAUACCGCCCAAGAGUUCAUAUCGACGGCGGUGUUUGGCACCUCGAUGUCGGCUCAUCACAUCCUGGGGCUGAAGUAGGUCCCAAGGGUAUGGCUGUUCGCCAUUUAAAGUGGUACGCGAGCUGGGUUUAGAACGUCGUGAGACAGUUCGGUCCCUAUCUGCCGUGGGCGCUGGAGAACUGAGGGGGGCUGCUCCUAGUACGAGAGGACCGGAGUGGACGCAUCACUGGUGUUCGGGUUGUCAUGCCAAUGGCACUGCCCGGUAGCUAAAUGCGGAAGAGAUAAGUGCUGAAAGCAUCUAAGCACGAAACUUGCCCCGAGAUGAGUUCUCCCUGACUCCUUGAGAGUCCUGAAGGAACGUUGAAGACGACGACGUUGAUAGGCCGGGUGUGUAAGCGCAGCGAUGCGUUGAGCUAACCGGUACUAAUGAACCGUGAGGCUUAACCUUACAACGCCGAAG